GACGAACGCUGGCGGCGUGCUUAACACAUGCAAGUCGAACGGUGAAGCGCCUUCCUUUUUGGUGGGUGUGGAUGAGUGGCGAACGGGUGAGUAACACGUGAGUAACCUGCCCCCUUCUUCUGGAUAACCGCAUGAAAGUGUGGCUAAUACGGGAUAUUCUGGGUCUGUCGCAUGAUGGGUCUGGGAAAGAUAUUGUUUCGGUGGGGGAUGGGCUCGCGGCCUAUCAGCUUGUUGGUGGGGUGAUGGCCUACCAAGGCGGUGACGGGUAGCCGGCCUGAGAGGGUGGACGGCCACACUGGGACUGAGACACGGCCCAGACUCCUACGGGAGGCAGCAGUGGGGAAUAUUGCACAAUGGGCGCAAGCCUGAUGCAGCGACGCCGCGGGAGGGAUGGAGGCCUUCGGGUUGUGAACCUCUUUCGCCAGUGAAGCAGGCCUGCCUCGUUUGUGGGUGGGUUGACGGUAGCUGGAUAAGAAGCGCCGGCUAACUACGUG
rnacentral:rRNA from 1 species